GACGAACCGUGCGAACGUUGUUCGGAAUCACUGGGCUUAAAGGGCGCGUAGGCGGGUGACCAAGUCCGGGGUGAAAUCUUUCGGCUCAACCGGAAAAGGGCUUCGGAUACUGGUCACCUCGAGGAAGGUAGGGGCAUGCGGAACUUCCGGUGGAGCGGUGAAAUGCGUUGAUAUCAGAAGGAACGCCGGCGGCGAAAGCGGCGCACUGGACCUUUUCUGACGCUGAUGCGCGAAAGCCAGGGGAGCAAACGGG
rnacentral:rRNA from 1 species